UCGGGUAUGGUGUAGCGGUAACAUCGUUGACUCUCAUGGCUUCUGUCUGAGUGCCCUCAACAGCCCGGGGUUCGACUCCCCGUAUCCGAG